GCACCCAUGGCUCAAUUGGAUAGAGCACUUGACUACGGAUCAGGAGGUUGCAGGUUCAAAUCCUGCUGGGUGUA
rnacentral:tRNA from 1 species